ACGAGUGACAGCUCUUUUAGAAUUUGUCUAGCAGAUUUCCCAGUCUCUACCAGAAGACCAUA
ensembl:snRNA U7 U7 small nuclear RNA